rnacentral:rRNA from 1 species
CAGCCAUGCCGCGUGAGUGAUGAAGGCCCUUAGGGUUGUAAAGCUCUUUCAACGGUGAAGAUAAUGACGGUAACCGUAGAAGAAGCCCCGGCUAACUUCGUGCCAGCAGCCGCGGUAAUACGAAGGGGGCUAGCGUUGUUCGGAAUUACUGGGCGUAAAGCGCACGUAGGCGGAUUGUUAAGUUAGGGGUGAAAUCCCAGGGCUCAACCCUGGAACUGCCUUUAAUACUGGCAAUCUCGAGUCCGAGAGAGGUGAGUGGAAUUCCGAGUGUAGAGGUGAAAUUCGUAGAUAUUCGGAGGAACACCAGUGGCGAAGGCGGCUCACUGGCUCGGUACUGACGCUGAGGUG